AAGUUUAGGUUAAACAAACCAGAGGCCUUCAAAGCAUCAAACAAGAGCAAUUCCACCAUCAUAACUUGG
rnacentral:tRNA from 1 species